CUUCAACUUUAGGGGUGUCUGUUAAUAAAACAGGCUGAGAUUUUACCCUUUGAACCUGAUUUCUAGAUCAUACUAGCGUAGGGAAAAGUGAGAUGACUUUU
rfam:Chryseobacterium takakiae strain DSM 26898 genome assembly, contig: Ga0131160_105